GAAGGGUUUCGGCCUUAGUGGCGGACGGGUGAAGUAACGCGUAGGUAUCUAUCCAUGGGGUGGGGGAUAACACUGGGAAACUGGUGCUAAUACCGCAUGACACCUGAGGGUCAAAGGCGUAAGUCGCCUGUGGAGGAGCCUGCGUUUGAUUAGCUAGUUGGUGGGGUAAAGGCCUACCAAGGCGAUGAUCAAUAGCUGGUUUGAGAGGAUGAUCAGCCACACUGGGACUGAGACACGGCCCAGACUCCUACGGGAGGCAGCAGUGGGGAAUAUUGGACAAUGGGGGCAACCCUGAUCCAGCAAUGCCGCGUGUGUGAAGAAGGUCUUCGGAUUGUAAAGCACUUUCGACGGGGACGAUGAUGACGGUACCCGUAGAAGAAGCCCCGGCUAACUUCGUGCCAGCAGCCGCGGUAAUACGAAGGGGGCUAGCGUUGCUCGGAAUGACUGGGCGUAAAGGGCGUGUAGGCGGUUUGUACAGUCAGAUGUGAAAUCCCCGGGCUUAACCUGGGAGCUGCAUUUGAUACGUGCAGACUAGAGUGUGAGAGAGGGUUGUGGAAUUCCCAGUGUAGAGGUGAAAUUCGUAGAUAUUGGGAAGAACACCGGUGGCGAAGGCGGCAACCUGGCUCAUUACUGACGCUGAGGCGCGAAAGCGUGGGGAGCAAACAGGAUUAGAUACCCUGGUAGUCCACGCUGUAAACGAUGUGUGCUAGAUGUUGGGUGACUUAGUCAUUCAGUGUCGCAGUUAACGCGUUAAGCACACCGCCUGGGGAGUACGGCCGCAAGGUUGAAACUCAAAGGA
rnacentral:rRNA from 1 species